rnacentral:rRNA from 1 species
GGAUCAGGUAGGAAUACCCGCUGAACUUAAGCAU